rnacentral:rRNA from 1 species
UUUCUGGUGGGUUUUUGAUGUGGUUAUGAAAAUAUUGGAAACAAUAAUUUAUUUACUACCGCCCGCCAUCUUGUGGAAUCUGUUUUAGUUGUUGAAGGUUCAUUCUUUUUAAUAAUUAAGACCCCACUCAGUUACUGAGAGCAAAUUGGAGUGCUCAAAGCAGGCUUUAUUAGCUUUGAACAUUUUAGCUUGGAAUGACAAGAUAUGACUAGUUUUAUAUUUUGUUGGUUAUAUUACAACUAGUAAUGAUUAAAAGGAACAGUUGCGGGGAUACUCGUACUGAAGGGUCAGAGGUGAAAUUCUAGGAUUCCUUCACGACGAACGACUGCGAAAGCAUUUAUCAAGUAUGUUUUCAUUAAUCAAGAACGAAAGCUCGGGGAUCGAAGAUGAUUAGAUACCAUCGUAGUCCGACGCCAUAAACGAUGCCGACUCAGGAUUGUAUUUUAUUUUAAAUUAACAAAUAAAUAAAUGCAGCACUGUAUGAGAAAUCAAAGUCUUUGGGUUCCGGGGGGAGUAUGGUCGCAAGGCUGAAACUUAAAGGAAUUGACGGAAGGACACACCAGAGGUGGAGCCUGCGGUUUAAUUUGACCCAACACGGGGAAACUUACCAGGUCCAGACAUGAUGAGGAUUGACAGUUUGAAAGCACUUUCUUGAUUUCAUGGGUGGUGGUGCAUGGCCGUUCUUAGUUGGUGGAGUGAUUUGUCUGGUUGAUUCCGAUAACGAACGAGACGGGGGGAGUUUACUAGUUUUAUUCGAAAUAAUUUACGUUAUUUCAAACUUCUUUACUCGACAACUCUUUUUUAAAGAGAGGAAGCACCCCGCAAUAACAGGUCUGUGAUGCCCUUAGAUGUUCUGGGCUACACGCGCGCUACAAUGACGAAUUCAACGAGUAAUAUAUUUUAUAACUUCCUUGUCUGUAAAGAUGUGGGUAAUCUUUUCAAUAUUCGUCGUGAUGGGGCUAGAUUUUUGCAAUUAUUAAUCUUCAACGAGGAAUCUCUAGUAUGUGCAAUUCAUCAGAUUGCGCAGAAUGCGUCCCUGCCCUUUGUACACACCGCCCGUCGCACCUACCGAUUGAACGAUCCGGCAAGAUGUUUGGAGUUGUGUUAUUUACAUUUUUCGGAAUUUGAAUAAUAUGACAAAGCUC